rnacentral:rRNA from 2 species
GUUUGACCUCGGAUCAGGUAGGAAUACCCGCUGAACUUAAGCAUAUCA